UAGAUCAAUACCCUCAAAAAUAUCCUAUACAGACUGUUGGAAGGAUGAGUGUGUGAAAUACACACAAACACUCAUACAUACAAAAGUUACAAUGAACAAGUAGGCUUUUGUUAUUUUCAGUCUUGAUACUGAAAAGCUGCUAUUGUUUAGCCUCAGUCUUUACUGAACUGCAGAGAGUAAAGAAGUUAACGUGCUCAGUAAAAUAAAAUAAUAAAUAUUGAAAUCAACAAAUCUAAACACUCGAAGACAACUUAUGCACUUUAUGGCAAUUGAAGAUAUAGCCUUUCAAGUCCGUCCAAUCACAGUGGCAUUUUUAAUCGGCCGAACACUUUCCAAGGAUUCUGUGAAGAAAAUCUGCGCUGACAACAGAUUCGUCACUCUGAUAAAAGUUGUUAACAUAGAGUAACAGGAUACCAGAUCUGGCCAACAAAGCGGCCGUUACGAUAUUCGACAAUUCAACAUGGGAGCGGUACACGAUGAGUUUCUACGUUACGAAAAUCUUUGUGUAUGCCAAAUCAACCCGUUUCGAACGAUGCGACUAUUCCAGAUUGUUUCAAUUCGUUUAGGCUGGAGUCUAUCAAGAUUCUCACUGUGCUUAUUGUGCUAUUGCUCAUUUUUUAUUCAAGAAGCCUGGUCGAAUCAAUUUGGGAUUGAAGUUUCUCCGUGUCUAUUUCUUAUCAUUUUUUUUUAUUCAAGAAGCCUGGUCGAUUCAAUUUGGGAUUGAAGUUUCUCCGUGUCUGCUCUUCUUUUUUAUUCAAGAAGCCUGGUCGAAUCAAUUUGGGAUUGAAGUUUCUCCCUAUGUCUACUCUUCAUUUUUAUUCAAGAAGCCUGGUCGAUUCAAUUUGGGAUUGAAGUUUCUCCCUAUGUCUACUCUUCAUUUUUAUUCAAGAAGCCUGGUCGAAUCAGUUUGUCAAUGCCGAAUCAACUCGUUUUGAAGGAUGCGACUAUUCAAGAUUGUUUAAAUUCUUUUAGGCUUGCAUCUAUUAGGAUUCUAAGAUUCUCACUGUGCUUAUUGUGCUAUUGCUCAUUUUUUAUUCAAGAAGCCUGGUCGAAUCAAUUUGGGAUUGAAGUUUCUCCCUAUGUCUACUCUUCAUUUUUAUUCAAGAAGCCUGGUCGAUUCAAUUUGGGAUUGAA